rnacentral:rRNA from 1 species
GUGAGGAAUAUUGGACAAUGGGCGCAAGCCUGAUCCAGCCAUGCCGCGUGCAGGAAGACGCAUCUAUGGUGUGUAAACUGCUUUUGUACGGGAAGAAACACUCCCUCGUGAGGGAGCUUGACGGUACCGUAAGAAUAAGGAUCGGCUAACUCCGUGCCAGCAGCCGCGGUAAUACGGAGGAUCCAAGCGUUAUCCGGAAUCAUUGGGUUUAAAGGGUCCGUAGGCGGUUUAAUAAGUCAGUGGUGAAAGCCCAUCGCUCAACGAUGGAACGGCCAUUGAUACUGUUAGACUUGCAUUACAAGGAAGUAACUAGAAUAUGUAGUGUAGCGGUGAAAUGCUUAGAUAUUACAUGGAAUACCAAUUGCGAAGGCAGGUUACUACUUGUGGAUUGACGCUGAUUGACGAAAGCGUGGGGAGCGAACAGGAUUAGAAACCCCAGUAGUCC